UUUUUUUCAAUGAGCCCAAGUCCUUAUAUGGAUUUUUUUUUUUAUCUUUCACUUUUUAACCAAACUUAUGCUAUGUUUAGAUCAAAGGAAGUGCCAUAUUUUCUAUUUCUAUUUAGCGAUAAUUUGCUUGGAUGGUAGGAUGUACUCUUAUUAGUGUAUUAAAGUGUGGAAUUCAUUUUGGAGAUGUUGUUAGGAGAAAUGGAGCAAGUAAAAUGAACAAGAAAGUUAUAGAAAUAUUGCAUAGUCCAUUUUAAAAUCUAAUAUUGCUGUAGGCACAAUGUGUAUGUAUCUCAUUCCAAGAUAAACAUCUCACAAAAGUCUUAAUUUUGCCCAUUUUCACAAUAUCAGUUUGUUUGUGCUAUUUCGGUUUGGUAAUCAUGCUACUCUCUUUAAUAAACAAUGUUACUGACUAAAUUUAUCUCUUAGUUAAGUUACUACAUAUGACUAAGUUACCUUUAUGCAUCUUCCAAAGUAUAGAAAAAACUAUCACAUACAGGGGAAGUCAAAAGCAAUAAAACGCCUGCAUUUCUGUCAAAUGGCAUCCGUCUGAGUAAUCAAGCUCAACAACAGAAGAACAUGUCCAAUAUUCUCAGGGGCUUGGUGUUACUUAGACAAGUGACUGAGGAAUAGAAAAGCCAAGAAAACGGAUGUUCCUAAGUGGAAGAGAGACCUUGCAUUCACAAGAGAGUACUGGAAAUCGUUUGAUCAAAAGGCUGUAAGAUUUUAUAGAAAAAGAAGAAAUGUGGAGAAAAUAUUGGGUAUAGUACAUUUUUUUAAGAAGAAAUGAGGACAUUUUUUCUUCAAUUUUAUGCUCACAAUACUAUUAAGAUUAACAUUUUAUGAGUGCAGUAAAAAAAAAUGUUUUCUUUAGUUAGGCUAUUUAUCUUACUUGCUUAACACCCACUAUGUAACAGGGGCUGUCAAUCAAUUACAAUACUUUAUUGUGAUAAAUCACAUGUUGGCCAUAGUUUAUGAUUAAUUGCAGAUUUCUAAGAAACCUUAUAAUAUGUUCAUAAUAUUCCAAUGAGCAUUGAAACAACACAAAUGAUGAGGGGAAUGGUGCAAAAGAUACAUCUUAUGUUUGUGCUGGUUUCCCAUUUUGACUGCAAAAGGUCAUGACAAGUUUUUCUGAGGAAGAUUUAUUAGGAAGAGCUUAUUGAAACUAAAAGUCAUAAAAGUCUGCAGAGCUUAUUUGGAUCAAGCUCAAAAAUGUUUUAGAUGGAUAGAUUUUAAACCUGCUGUUUAGAGUAAAUCUUUUUUGAUUUAACUGGCAUAACUUGGAACUAUUUCUUGUGUCUGAUGUUUUUGUAUUUAAUCAUUUUCAUGUUGUUUUCAUUGGUUCAUAGAGGAACCAAUGAAAGCAAAUUAUGUUUUGCCAUGUUGUUUUUGUCUACAACAGUAAAAUAAUUCUGGGUAUCUUCCCAUUUCUUCUCCCUGUCAACUGUGAGCACCAUUUACAGAGUAGAUCAGAAGAGUAGAAGUGGACAGCAAGGGAGAGAGAGAGUGGAGCUGUUUUCAGAGAUGACAUUUUAAUUAAUGGCAUAUUAGCCCCACAGAGAAAAAAACUGAAACAGAGCAGGAAUAACAUUCAAACUACAGCACAGAACAUGUGCUUCAAUUGUGUGUAAGAAAAACAACAAGGUUAAACUCAAUUUUACUUCUGUGGUUUAACGCCUCAACUUUGACAGCCCUACAUGUUACAUUUUAAAAUCUAGAUUAUUUCCACUGGCAUUUUUCUUUCACUUGUUACCCAUCAAAUUGACAAUCCAACUAAAACGCGACAGACUUCUGAAAAAUAAUGGAUUCAUAUGGAAUGUGGCAGCAUUGUUGCUAGAUCCAAAUCUGAAGAAAGAUACUAAUAUUAUCAUAAAAAGACAAAAGCUGUAGGUCAUCACUGCAGAUAGGCCUGUCGAGGAAAAGAAAUCCUAUAUGAGCAGUCUGAAGAAUAAAAUAAAUAAAUAAAUUUUGAAUCAUAAUUCAUAGAAAAACAUCUUUAGCACCCAUACAAGUCCGAGUGCUUGCCCUUGAUGUGCAAUUCUCCAGCCAGCUGUGGCGAGGGUCCCAUUGCUCCCACUCAGUUGUGCCCUUGAAAUCAACAAUUGAACACAACUGUAAAUUUCCUCUCCCCCCUUUUAAAUUGUUUAUGAGCUUCGUGUCCUUUGAUCGGGGCGUCAUCACACGGCAGAGGAGGAAAUUGAAUUAAUUGCAUGUCCGUUAAUCGCAUUACAUCUUCAUUAACAUGCCGUGAGUCAGGGCUUAAGCUCAUCACGCGUGCCUGGAGGAGAGGAAGAGAGGGGAGGAGCAAGGAAGAGCAGGAGGGGAGAGCAGUUGAGAAGGACAAGAUGCAAACGGGGGUUUCCCUCUCCGUAGGCUCUCCCUCCUCAGCACAGCGGUGGCUUUUUCAAACGAUUGUCUCCAUGAAUCCUAGUCCAGGUAAGUAUUGGAUUCUUUAAGAUAGAAAGCGUUCUCUUUUCUUCAAAUGCUAGAAGUCUCAACUUAAACCACAUACAGUGCCUUGCAAAUGUAUUCAAACAUCUUGAACCUUUUGAUAUUUUGUAAGAACUACAAGCUAGAGUGUAAUUCAUAGGGAUGGUAUCUAAUACACCAACAUAAAUCUGUGCCCAACUGAGAAGUGGAAGAAAAAUGACACACGGUUUUUAAGUGUGUCAUUUUUGUAUUAUGCUUUAUGUAUUUUCCUGUCACUUAGUGUCAUUUCCUAGCACAAUAAAGUAACUAUGCAACCUUCAGUUGUUAUAAAAAAUGCUGUAUUCAAAUCAAACAUAACUUAACUGAAUUUGAUGAAUUAAAACUGGCCUCUGCCUUCAAAAAGCUCCAACACUUUCUGAUGUCAUCACAACAACGGUCCUCCAUUAUGUAGUUUACAAUCGUUCUUUUUAGCAUUGGAGUGAGAAGUAGUUCAUACAAUUAGCUUGCUAAUUGUUGCCAACGCUAGUCUGGAGGAGCUGAGUGAGGGAAGAGGUGCUUCUGAAAAUAACAGCCUCUAGGUGGAAACCCUUGUUGCUCAGGAGAGUAGAGAGUUCAGUGAAGCAGCGCUGGCGAAGGAGGAUCUAGAUGGAUGCUGGAGCAGAGUUCACGACGACAGAAAGGGAAGAUCAAUAUUUACAAACCCGUUUGAGCGUUGACCUUUCACAAACUCCGCCAUACUGUUUAAUGUUCUGGCCUGCACUUUAAUGGACACAUCAUCACGCACUUCAUCAAGCUGUCCUGCCCCCUCGUACGCCUACUUUAUGCACUUCAGAUUUUUUUUCUUUUUUUUUCCUUACAAUCUCAAGGGGAGUUUAUCCUUGGGAUGUUUUGCUUGGAGUGUGGUAAUAACUUUGUCAAA